rnacentral:misc_RNA from 1 species
CUAGCUUUGUGAUAUGGUCACUAUGAGCUCCGAUAAGUCGGUUGUCCGACGCAAAGCAGAUUCAAACAAUGGUGCUCAGGCAGCAGGACCUGUGCCUGGUGGUACCGAAGAUACUCCAAAUCAUCUUGUUUACAAAAAAAUGGACCAAUGAAAUAAAAAGCAAGAAUGUGAGAGUUUUGUAUUGUUAUUGCCAUGCUUAUGCCUCCUGAUGAGAGUACCUCAGGUUUAAGGAUAGGGUAUGAAUACAUAUAAAUAGAUGCUGCUGAACAGAAUUGCUUUUGCACAAGAGUGACAAGUAAAGCCAUUAAAUAUAGAUGAGGGUUACAUAGUUAUUCAUCAGGAAUAAUUACUCUGCUGUCUAAGACAUGGUGUGACUUGGUAUGUAGUGAGAGAAGUGACAGGAAGAUGGUGACAGGAUACAAGUAAGAUGGAGCAACAUGAAGAAAUUAAUGUCUUGCUAGUGGAGAAAAGACAUGGCUUUGUAAUCAUCUUGUUAUGGGGAAGAAAAAAAUAAAAAGAAUGGCAAGCUUUUCAAACUAGCAAAGUUGAAAAAUAUGUAUAAAUAAUUGUGUUGUAUUUAAUAAAGCAUUAAUUCCUAAACAA